CUCACUCUGACCCUUCUUUUUAUGAGAUCCUCAGUGGCUAUGGGAGACUGCUCGUUGUCAUCCAAUUUCUGUUCUUCCAUCCUUCUAGAGUAUAACAGUUUAGCAGGCGGCAUGGACAUCUGGCUAAAGACUACAUUCCCAGCCUGCCUUGCAGUAGGUGUGGUCACGUGACUAGGAGAUGACAAGAACUGGACAGUCUCCUUGGGCGCAGAGCUGGCAAACACAUGCUGAGGAUACGGAGCUGAACCGACAGGCCUGAACCGACAGAUGACCUCUGGACUGUCACGGAGGAAAGAGAUCAACUUCUGUCUUGGCAUUGAAUCUGACACUGGGGACUUAAAAACAGGGAACACGUGGCCCUGGAUCUCAGGGUACCUGCAGUCCAAUGGAAAAGAAAAAGACUUGGGUGGACUAUUUCUGUAUAAUGAAUGUGGCACUUGAUUUUAAAAGGGUAGGAAAGUCAGGCCAACAGAAGCUAAGCCAUGUUCCCAAGACCCUGUACUGCGCAGCAGACGCAGGAUUCAAAUUUAGGAUUGUCUGACUCCAGAGCCUGCCUUUUAUCAACUGAUCCCAAAAUAAGAAAUGAGUUGAUCUUCAGAGUGGGGGUUUUUUCUUCCCUCAGGUCUUUUGCCUGGAACACAAACCACCUGGAAUCUGGAAACAGCUAAGAGAAAGAGCUUAUAAAACACUCUUUAUAAAACUGUGCAUUGUGUCAGUCUCAGAGACAGAAUGCCUCCUGUUAACAAUAUGGAAAAAGAAGCCAAGAUUAUGCUGAAAGCUGUUUCCUUUCCCCGUUCCUUUGGGGAGCUACUUCUCCCCAAGACAAUGUAGGUCGGGGGGCUGGGUCACAGUGCUUUGCCUCUUGAGGAGGUGGUGGUGACAUGGCCAGUCACGGUACCCUAUCCCUCCCGCCCACCUGAGGAGGAGCACGUGAUCAAGCAUUGCCAUCCAGCUCAUCUACGAUUUCACAUGUCCCUGCUGGGGGAAAGAGAAGCUCCCUCUGCCCCGCUGGGCAUCAAGCCAUGGAGGCCGGGGCUGAGGCUGGGCAUUCUCCUGGCGGGAGAGCAUAGUCUUCAGCCCGACAGGAACCGAUGAUGCCCAAGAGAGCCAAGCUACAAUGACAGAGGAGAGGUGGAGAGAUUCCGACCUCAUCCGUCCCUGAGCCCACCCCAUCUGCCUCUUCUAACGAUAGAAGCAAUAAACAAACAAACAAACAAAUAAAACCUCCUUUAUCCUAA